rnacentral:tRNA from 1 species
GAAUCGUCGCUGGGCUGCCUGCAAGGCAGUGGAUUGUCAAUCCACCAUGCGCGGGUUCAAUUCCCGUCGUUCG